rnacentral:rRNA from 1 species
UUAAAAAGUUAAUUGUGAGAUUCAAUUUAAUUUGAAAUUUUUUGAUUAUUGAUUUUGUAGGUAAAAUUAAGUUUAAAAUAAGAAAAUUAAGGUUUUAUUAUAAAAAAGAAAAAAUAUAAUUAAUUAUAGUGUAUUAGUAUUGUGAAAGAAAUUAAUUAAUUUUAAAAAAUAAGAAUUAAUUUUUCGUACCUUGUGCAUCAGGGUUUAUUAAAUGAAAUUAAAUAUUUAAUUUUUUCGAAGUUAAAAGAGUUAAAAAAUUAUAAUUUUUAUUGUAAAAUAAAUAUUAUUAAUAAUUUUUUAGUAAUGAAACGUUAUUCGUUUUUAAAUAUAUCUAAUUUUUUAAGAAAUAAAUUUAAUUUAUUUAUUAUUAAUAAAAUUUUAAUUUAUUAAUUUUUUAUUUAUAAUAUUAAAUAUUUUUAGGGAUGAGCUUAAAAAUAGAUUUUUAUUAGUUUAUAAAAUUUAUAAAGUUGUAGGAUUAGAAUUUUUCAUCAUUAAUAAAAUGUUAUAAUUAAUUUAUAGUAAAAUAUUAUUUUUAUAAAUUAUAAAUUUUUUAUUAAAAUAUUAAUUUUAAUUAUAAAAAUUAAGAAAUAAUGAUAAAAUUAGUAUAAUUUUAUGUAAAUAUAAUUAAUUUAUUUAAGGUUAAGUAAAGGAAUUCGGCAAAUUAUUUUCUACCUGUUUAUUAAAAACAUGUCCUUUUGAUAAUAAUUUAAGGUCUGGCCUGCCCACUGAAAAAUUUGAAUGGCCGUGGUAUUUUGACCGUGCUAAGGUAGCAUAAUCAUUAGUUUUCUAAUUAAAAACUGGAAUGAAGGGUUAGAUAAGAAAAUGACUGUCUCUAUUUAAUUUUUAUUAGAAUUUUAUUUUUAAGUUAAAAAGCUUAAUUAUUAUUAAAAGACGAGAAGACCCUAUAGAGUUUAAUUAAAUUUAUUAAUUUAUUAUUUUAGAAUUUAAUUAUUAAAUUAAAAUUUUAAUUUAGUUGGGGUGAUUGAAAAAUUAAAUAAACUUUUUUUGUAUAAAAUCAUUAAUUUAUGAAUAAUUGAUCCAAUAAUUUUGAUUAUAAGAUAAAAUUACCUUAGGGAUAACAGCGUAAUUUUUUUUGAAAGUUCUUAUUGAAAAAAAAGAUUGCGACCUCGAUGUUGGAUUAAAAUUAAUUUUUGGUGUAGAAGCUAAGAAUAUUAGGUCUGUUCGACCUUUAAAAUUUUACAUGAUCUGAGUUUAAACCGGUGUGAGCCAGGUUGGUUUCUAUCUUUAAUUAAAUAAAAUAUUUUAGUACGAAAGGACCAAAUAUU